rnacentral:lncRNA from 1 species
CAUUGCUGCUCACAACAGAAAUCAGAAAUAAAAACAGAGCAUUCACAGUACUUUGACCUCAUAUAAGAUUUUUGCACUACAGCAUAAGAAACAGUUAAACAACCAACCUGAAGCAUGGAAGUAGCACUCUUUAAUUACUCACUCCCUCAACCAUACUAAAGUCAGCAUCUUUCCCCCAGCAUAAAAUCUGCUCCAGCUAGCAGCAACCCACUGACCACAACCCACAGAACCACCUUGCUGCCUGGAGAAGACCACUGAGAUCCAGCUGGCAUUCAUAGUAUUCCUGUACCCAGACCAAAACCCAGAAGAUUCUGUAGCUGAUAAG